UACGUAGGUGGCAAGCGUUGUUCGGAAUUACUGGGCGUAAAGGGCGCGUAGGCGGCCUUCUAAGUCGAACGUGAAAUCCCCGGGCUCAACCCGGGAACUGCGUCCGAUACUGGAAAGCUUGAAUCCGGGAGAGGGAUGCGGAAUUCCAGGUGUAGCGGUGAAAUGCGUAGAUAUCUGGAGGAACACCGGUGGCGAAGGCGGCAUCCUGGACCGGCAUUGACGCUGAGGCGCGAAAGCCAGGGGAGCAAACGGG
rnacentral:rRNA from 1 species